GCUUGGCCAUGCUGUCAGAGGUCAUGGACCAUCCUAAGUCUUACUUGGUGAUAAUAUCUCAGGGGGCCUCUUCCCUCCACAGCUAACCACACAUCUGAAAAGAUGCUUUCAAGGGCCUCUGAUAUUCUUUCCAGGGCCUCUCAACACUUGAAGAUGCUCAUUUCCCCAGAGUGGUGGUUUCUACAUUUAUUCUAAAGACAAAGUUACAAGAACACUAUAUGUAUAAAACAGGUAGGUUUGAAGACAUCUCCCCAUCCUCUCCUGGGCAAUGCCCUUUAGCAAAAUUGCCAGCAUAUGAAGUAGUA
rnacentral:lncRNA from 1 species